GACGAACGCUGGCGGCGUGCUUAACACAUGCAAGUCGAGCGGUAAGGCCCUUCGGGUACACGAGCGGCGAACGGGUGAGUAACACGUGGGUGACCUGCCUCUAGCUCUGGGAUAAGCCUGGGAAACUGGGUCUAAUACCGGAUAUGACUCCACGGCGCAUGUUGUGGGGUGGAAAGCCUUGUGUGGCUAGAGAUGGGCCCGCGGCCUAUCAGCUUGUUGGUGGGGUGAUGGCCUACCAAGGCGACGACGGGUAGCCGGCCUGAGAGGGCGACCGGCCACACUGGGACUGAGACACGGCCCAGACUCCUACGGGAGGCAGCAGUGGGGAAUCUUGCGCAAUGGGCGAAAGCCUGACGCAGCGACGCCGCGUGAGGGAUGACGGCC
rnacentral:rRNA from 1 species